GGGGAUUUAGCUCAGUGGUAGAGUGCUCGCUUAGCAAGCGCAAGGCCCUGGGUUCGGUCCCCAGCUCCA
rfam:Rattus norvegicus chromosome 10, whole genome shotgun sequence.